rnacentral:rRNA from 1 species
GACGUAGGGCGCAAGCGUUGUCCGGAUUUAUUGGGCGUAAAGAGCUCGUAGGCGGCUCGUUGCGUCGGCUGUGAAAACCCGCAGCUUAACUGUGGGCCUGCAGCCGAUACGGGCGGGCUGGAGUUCGGUAGGGGAGACUGGAAUUCCUGGUGUAGCGGUGAAAUGCGCAGAUAUCAGGAGGAACACCUAUGGCGAAGGCAGCUCGCUGGGACGUUACUGACUCUGAGACGCGAAAUCGUCGUUAGCAAACAGG